rnacentral:misc_RNA from 1 species
GUGAAUCAUCAAAUUUUUGAACGCAAAUUGCACUCUCUGGUAUUCCGGAGAGUAUGCCUGUUUGAGGGUCAGUAUAAACAAAAAUGGGUUGGGUUGCUUUCGGUGGUGGUCCCGCAUCGGAUGUGGGUCGUCUCUCCUUUGGAUAAGUGACCUACAAUCCUGCAUGAUUCUCUUGAACGCG